GUGGCCGUUGGCCGUAGGUCUACGACGUACGAAGUUGAAUUCGAAUCGUCGUCAGGAAUGAACGCUAGCUACAGGCUAACACAUGCAAGUCGAGGGCAGCAUUGGAGUAGCAAUACUUCAGAUGGCGACCGGGCGCACGGGUGAGUAACACGUAUCCAACCUGCCGCUUACUCGGGGAUAGCCUUUCGAAAGAAAGAUUAAUACCCGAUGGUAUAAAGAGUUCGCAUGUUCUCUUUAUUAAAGAAUUUCGGUAAGCGAUGGGGAUGCGUUCCAUUAGAUAGUUGGCGGGGUAACGGCCCACCAAGUCUACGAUGGAUAGGGGUUCUGAGAGGAAGGUCCCCCACAUUGGAACUGAGACACGGUCCAAACUCCUACGGGAGGCAGCAGUGAGGAAUAUUGGUCAAUGGACGAGAGUCUGAACCAAGCCAAGUAGCGUGAAGGAUGACUGCCCUAUGGGUUGUAAACUUCUUUUGAAGGGGAAUAAAGUACGGUACGUGUACCGUUUUGUAUGUACCCUUCGAAUAAGGAUCGGCUAACUCCGUGCCAGCCGCCGC
rnacentral:rRNA from 1 species